AGAAGCAGCUAUUCCUUUAAAAGAAAGCGUAACAGCUCACUGUAUUUAGUAUUUUUGUCGUCGUAAAAAUUUAAAAUAAAUCUUUAGUUAUUUACCAAAGCUAUGUGCUAAUUUUAUUUUUUAAAAUAGUGUUGCGGUAGUAGAACGUUCUGUUAUGCUUAGAAGUUAAACCGAUAGGUUUGAUGGUAGGUAUCAGAAGUGUAAAUGCUGACAUGAGUAACGAAUAAAUUGUUUAACAAUAAGACAAUCGCCGUAAACCCAAGAUUUUCUUUGUUAAAGAUCAACUUCAAAGAUUUAAGCGGCCCCUAAUAUAUAUGUGUGAAAAUCAUUAUAAAUGGGUAUUUUCCUUAAUAAUGGUAAAAUCGUAUCACCUAGUGACAAAAAUUUAUUAAUUAACUUAAAAUUUUUAUAUAUAAAUUUAAGUAAUUUAUUUUAAAAUUUUUUCAAGAAAAAACUUGGUGAAUAGACUUUUAUUUUGGAACUAAUAAAAACGACCGUAUCGUAAACCGACACUGGUGGGUUAGUAGAAUAUACUAAGGCGCUUGAGGUAAUAGUAGCUAAGGAACUCGGC
rnacentral:rRNA from 1 species